rnacentral:rRNA from 1 species
UUCUUAAAGUAAUUAUUUUAAGUAGCUUCUGCUCAAUGAAAUUAAAUAGCUGCGAUUGCACUAAGGUAGCAUAAUAAAUUGUCUUUUAAUUGAAGACUGGAAUGAAGGAGGGUAUGGGUAAGAAUUUUUUUAAAAGUGAUUUUAUGAAGUUAAAUUUUUAGUAAGAAUGCUAGAAUUAUGUUUAGGGACAAGAAGACCCUAUGAAGCUUUAUAAUAAUAAAAUUGAAGAAUUUAUUUUGUUGGGGCAACACUCUAAGAACGAAGUUUAGAGAUAAUAUAAAAUUAAUUAUYAUAUUAGAGAGCCAUAAAUUAUGAUUAUUUGAAUAAGUUACUCUAGGGAUAACAGCAUUAUUUAAGUUGGAAAGUACAAAUUGAUAACUUAGUUUAUGACCUCGAUGUUGAAUUAAUAUAACAGUAAGGUGAAGGAACUUUAUUUGUUAGUCUGUUCGACUAUUUAUAUAUUACA